AUGGUGUUGCUUGACAUUAGGGGUAUGUUGCAAUCCAUGGGCAAAGACAUAGCUGAUUUCGCUCUUCCAUGCAUUGACGAUGCUUUCGACCCAACUGAGGGCGAGGCCAGAGAAGUGAUCGAGGAAUCCAACAUCGAUUUUGACAUCAACAACACUAAAUUGGCUUCAUCGCUAAACUCGAAGCAGAGGGCUGCAUACGACGAGAUACUAGCUUCUGUUGAACACGGUGAUGGGGGUGUGUUCUUUGUUGAUGGCCCGGGAGGUACAGGGAAGACCUUCCUGUACAGGGCACUGCUCGCCAAGGUUCGAAGCGAGGGAAACAUCGCUAUCGCUACCGCGAAGUCAGGCGUCGCCGCUUCUAUCAUGCCUGGAGGCAGGACUGCCCACUCGAGGUUCAAGAUCCCAUUG
rnacentral:rRNA from 1 species